CACUGUGACAAUAACUAGCCCUGGCACCGCUCACAUUAAAUAGAUUUAAUUGUCCAGUUCGAGCGGUGCCUGGGCCGGCUUACAUCACGUGAUCGCCGCAGUCAGCUAGGAGCGGGAAGUUCAAUAGUGCUUAGCACAGCUUCCUUUAUCCCCUGUGUGCUCCAGGCACAAGCAUACAACAGCCCCGGGCAGCUCAUCCGGAUCACAUACCGGACUGAUGCUGCUGCUCCAGAGAAGGUGAACUCAUAAAGAAAGGAGGCGCAGCCCGUUCUCUAUUCUCUCCCCCUUCUGCGCCUCCUUCCUGCCCGACGGCCAUGGGCUGUCCCCCUGCCCACGGAGCUUCCACUGCAGACACGAUACUCCCCUGCAGGCAUACGCAGCUAUGGGCUGUCCCAGUGCCCUCCGGAGCUUCAUCUGCAGCCACGGUCCCCAGCACCAGCACUUUCCGUGACACCCACAGCGGCAGAGCUGAUCACUCCUUCUCAUAGGAUGCCAUGGCUGCGGGACCCGCGGAGGUGAUGGACGGAGUAGAGUGCACACUGAAAGAGCUGCUGAGGGGCCAGGACUCAGAGCGUCUGCAGGGAAAGGUGUCGGCGAAGCUGAGCCAGCUAGUGGUACUGGAGAGAGUAGCUGCCCACAGCCAAGGGCUCUCGGCACGUUGCCAUGGGAACCGGCAAAGCCUGAUAACGUCACUUCCGGGGGGGCUAAGACGCCGUGACCGGAAGUGCAGGACAGGGGACGCUCGGGAACUCUGUGGUCCACGCAGCUGAGAGUCAUCUCUGUGGGGAAUAGUUUAUCUGCACCCUCUGGGAUAGGCUGCUUUGAGAGUUGAUACCUUUGAGUUUUUUUAUGGUGUCCAGAUGCACUUUCAUCAUGCUCUGAAGAAAAAGAAAUGGACCGCUAAACCCUGUGCGUCAAAUGAGCCAGCACUAAUUACCGGAGGAAUAGAAGAUUCACUUCCUGAGUUAACCCUUAUAAUGUCACAGCAUCAUUCUAAAUGCAUCAGUAGUCAGCUGAAAGGAGUGGUUGUAUAUGUGUGCAUUUAUAUAUAUAUAUAUAUAUAUAUAUAUAUACUUAACUAUCCCUUUAAAUCAGAACACACUCAUGAAUAACACAGGUUCCGUGGCUGGCUGAGUUCAAGCCGGCAUAUCAACUUGUUUUAACUAGCCACAGAACCUGUGUAAUUCAUGUGUGUACCAGUUUAAAGGGAUAGUAUGGUAAGCCUGUACAUUUUCUGGAACUAGACAUACAAAUAAAAUUGAUUUAAAAAGGUGCUGCUAUUGUGUAUCACUGAGAACCACCAGAACAAUAACGUUUUAUAUAUAUAUACUGUAUAUAUGUUGGGGUUUUUUAUCUAGUUUUUAAUGGAAUUAAAAAUAGCUUAAUAUCUCCAUAUACUAUAAAAAUGUAGCAGAAAUGUAGCAGAACAAAUAAACAAUUGGGGAAAAAAACAAAUUUGAUAGGCAUUAUGUUUACAAAAAAAUGAAUCUACAUUUUUGAUUCACCAAAGUAGCCAACUUUUGCAGAGAUAACCACAGAGCACACUCUUGACAUUUCUACAAUGAAAAUUAAAUAUUGGAUGGAAGGUUCCUCCACACACUGCUGAAGAAGUUCACACAAAUGUGUUGUACUUGUUGAUUGCUUUCUUUUUACCCUUCUGUUGAGUUCAUCCUACAUCAGCUCAAUGGGAUUUCAAUUUCGAGACCGCACUGGCCAUUCCAUGAUUUGAAGCCUAUCAUCUUGUUCUUUUCCUUGAAAGUAGUUCCAACAUAGCCUGGAGAGAGAGAGGAGAGAGAAGAGAUUGGAGAGAGAGAGAGAGAGAGAGAGAGAGAGAGAUUCUUACUUUACUUGUGAUGAGCGGUAGCAAGCAGCAGCAGUUGGCUCCAGUACCCAAAGUCCCUCCUCCUCAGACACUGCAGGAGAGGAGGAGGGGAGGUGGAGUACACGGGGGAGAGAAGAGAGACUCAUACUGCCCAUCGCUGCCUGCUGUAAUGUACAUUAGCAGUGAUGCAUCCGGCAGAAAACACUACUAUUAUACAAUGCAGUAGGCAGCGCUGCAGCUGGGGUGGUAGCCAAUCAGGGUGGAUAUGGAUGCUAUGCCCACAGGACAAAUUUGCUCUUGGCUACGCACUGUCAGCACCACUCUAGUUAUGGCCCUGAACCACCUUAUGGGGGCAAUUAAUCUAGCCUUGGAGAGAGAUAAAGUGGAGCUGUUGCCCAAAGCACCCAGUCAACUUCUGUCAUUUCAAAGACUGUGCUGGAUAAAAGACAAAAACAAGUUAGUUGCUUUGGGCAACUUCUCCAAUUUACCUUUUCCCAGGCAUGCUACAUCUCCCCUAUGUUUUUUUUCUGGAUGACUUCAUUCAGUCACUCAGAAGAAACAAGUAGAAUGGCUUCUCAGAUUGCUAGUUCAAGUUGGAAUUCUCUAUCAAAUAUCCUGGGAGCAAUGGUGAUAUACUGUAUCUUGUGAGAAAUACUAAGAUUUUUUUUUAUUCUAUUUUAAAGUAUGCAUUGAAU